rnacentral:rRNA from 1 species
AUCUCUUGGUUCUGGCAUCGAUGAAGAACGCAGCGAAAUGCGAUACGUAGUGUGAAUUGCAGAAUUCAGUGAAUCAUCGAAUCUUUGAACGCACAUUGCGCCCUUUGGUAUUCCAAAGGGCAUGCCUGUUCGAGCGUCAUUU